rnacentral:rRNA from 1 species
GGGGGUAGAGCACUGUUUCGGCUAGGGGGUCAUCCCGACUUACCAAACCGAUGCAAACUCCGAAUACCUACAAGUGCCGAGCAUGGGAGACACACGGCGGGUGCUAACGUCCGUCGUGAAAAGGGAAACAACCCAGACCGUCAGCUAAGGUCCCAAAGUUAUGGUUAAGUGGGAAACGAUGUGGGAAGGCUUAGACAGCUAGGAGGUUGGCUUAGAAGCAGCCACCCUUUAAAGAAAGCGUAAUAGCUCACUAGUCGAGUCGGCCUGCGCGGAAGAUGUAACGGGGCUCAAACCAUACACCGAAGCUACGGGUAUCACGUAAGUGAUGCGGUAGAGGAGCGUUCUGUAAGCCUGUGAAGGUGAGUUGAGAAGCUUGCUGGAGGUAUCAGAAGUGCGAAUGCUGACAUGAGUAACGACAAUGGGUGUGAAAAACACCCACGCCGAAAGACCAAGGUUUCCUGCGCAACGUUAAUCGACGCAGGGUUAGUCGGUCCCUAAGGCGAGGCUGAAAAGCGUAGUCGAUGGAAAACAGGUUAAUAUUCCUGUACUUCUGGUUAUUGCGAUGGAGGGACGGAGAAGGC